rnacentral:rRNA from 1 species
GAUGAACGCUGGCGGCGUGCCUAAUACAUGCAAGUCGAGCGAACGGAUGAGAAGCUUGCUUCUCUGAUGUUAGCGGCGGACGGGUGAGUAACACGUGGAUAACCUACCUAUAAGACUGGGAUAACUUCGGGAAACCGGAGCUAAUACCGGAUAAUAUUUUGAACCGCAUGGUUCAAAAGUGAAAGACGGUCUUGCUGUCACUUAUAGAUGGAUCCGCGCUGCAUUAGCUAGUUGGUAAGGUAACGGCUUACCAAGGCAACGAUGCAUAGCCGACCUGAGAGGGUGAUCGGCCACACUGGAACUGAGACACGGUCCAGACUCCUACGGGAGGCAGCAGUAGGGAAUCGUCCGCAAUGGGCGAAAGCCUGACGGAGCAACGCCGCGUGAGUGAUGAAGGUCUUCGGAUCGUAAAACUCUGUUAUUAGGGAAGAACAUAUGUGUAAGUAACUGUGCACAUCUUGACGGUACCUAAUCAGAAAGCCACGGCUAACUACGUG